rfam:Nicotiana sylvestris Nsyl_contig110758, whole genome shotgun sequence.
GACUCUCGACAACAGAUAUAUUAGCUCUCUUAUCGAUGAAUAACGUAACAAAAUGUGAUACAUAGUGUAAAUUGCAGAAUCCCAUGAACCAUCGAAUCUUUAAAUGUGAAUUGCGCCCAAAGCCAUUAGGUCGAGGCAUGUCUACCUUGGUGUCA